AUUGAACGCUGGCGGCAGGCCUAACACAUGCAAGUCGAGCGGAUGAAGGGAGCUUGCUCCUGGAUUCAGCGGCGGACGGGUGAGUAAUGCCUAGGAAUCUGCCUGGUAGUGGGGGAUAACGUCCGGAAACGGGCGCUAAUACCGCAUACGUCCUGCGGGAGAAAGUGGGGGAUCUUCGGACCUCACGCUAUCAGAUGAGCCUAGGUCGGAUUAGCUAGUUGGUGGGGUAAAGGCCUACCAAGGCGACGAUCCGUAACUGGUCUGAGAGGAUGAUCAGUCACACUGGAAGUGAAACACGGUCCAGACUACUAAGGGAGGCAGCAGUGGGGAAUAUUGGACAAUGGGCGAAAGCCUGAUCCAGCCAUGCCGAGUGUGUGAAGAAGGUCUUCGGAUUGUAAAGCACUUCAAGUUGGGAGGAAGGGCAGUAAGUUAAUACCUUGCUGUUUUGACGUUACCAACAGAAUAAGCACCGGCUAACUUCGUG
rnacentral:rRNA from 1 species